UCACUUACAUAGAGUACUAAUUUGAUUAAGGAAAAAUCAUGUUCAUUCAUAAUUUUCAUUUUAAAAGUGUAUUCAUUCCUUCUGCAAAUCCAUACUGUCAUGCCUAUUCCCCAAUAUCGUCAACGCGGAUAGUUCGUUAGUCGAAAAUACUGAAUAAUUAAACAAACCAAAUGGCAUCACUGGUGGUUCUUUUUCCACUCCGCUAAAUUGUCAUCUCAAACAAAAACAAAUGGAUCAUACAACUGCUAUGAAUACAUUCGACUCGUUUGCUUCCAUCAAUCGGUAAGUGAGAAAGAUGAUUUCUCCCAUCACCACAGUGCGGAUUUCCACUUCUAUCACAGCAGCCAACAACAUCCGUUUUCCUGCAUCAGUAACCUCCAACCCCUGUUGGCAAUGCCGGGGGACAGCAUCAACAGCAGCAGCAGCAGAAUUUGACCAUGGUAUGGUAUUGCGAAGAACUUUCCCCAUUAGAGGUUCCGUGCUUCGCGCACAUUCAAAAAUCCUCUUCAGACACGAAAACUCAACGACAAGGAGGUAUUUAUCAACUUGCUCAGCUGAAUUACCACCCCGGAGGAACCCGAAUGCACUGAUUCCGUUGUAUAGUAGAAUGAAAAUAGGCGAGGUAAGCGAACGUAAUCGCAUGAUAUUUUAAUGUUCGCAUUUUUAUCCGGAUCAUACAACUGCUAUGAAUACAUCCGACUCAAUCAAUCGGCGAAUGAGAAAGAUGAUUUCCCUUAUCACCACAUUGCUUAUUUCCACUUCUGUCACACCAGCCAACAGCGUCAGCUUUCCCGCAGCAGUAUCCUUUAAGUCCAGGGUGCUAUUCCGGGGAACAGCAUCAACAGCAACCGCAGCAGGACCUGGCCAUCGAUAGUAUUUCGAGCAAUUUUCCCCAUCGGAGAUCCCGUGCUUCACGCACAUUGAAGAAUCCUUCUCAGCCACAUAUCUGUGUCAUCAAGGGCAAGGAGGUAUUCAUCAAUGUACUCAGUCGGAUUUGAAUCGUCAAUCCAGACAACCCAGAUGCACCGAUUCCAUUAUAUACCUUAUUUUUAUUAUACAUGGAUUUUUAUUAUUUUUGACGUAGGACUACGUCUUUCAUUUCUAUACCGGGGUGUAAAAUCAAAGUUUCGAAAACGAAAGCGUUACGCCGGAGACCGAGAUUUUGAGCGUUAAUAGCUCCUAAACAAUUGAACGAAAUGGUAUGAUAA